AACGAACGCUGGCGGCGUGGCUAAGACAUGCAAGUCGAACGGACCAUACAAUUGAGUAAUCGAGCGUAUGGUUAGUGGCGAAAGGGUUAGUAAUGGAUAGGUAACGUACCCCGAUCUUUGGGAUAGCGUCUGAGUGCUUGCACUCUUCCGAAAGGGGCGGUAAUACCAAAUAAUAUCAUGAUUCGAUAGUGUUAUGAUCAAAGAUUCAUCGGAUUGGGAGCGGCCUAUCUCCUAUCAGCUUGUUGGUGAGGUAAGAGCUCACCAAGGCUAAGACGGGUAGCGGGACUGAGAGGUUGGCCCGCAACAUCGGGACUGAGACACUGCCCGGACCUCCACGGAGGGCUGCAGUAACGAAUAUUGCGCAAUGGGCGAAAGCCUGACGCAGCGACGCCGCGUGUAGGAGGAAGUCCCUCGGGAUGUAAACUACUGUCAGGGGGAAGAAAGUGUACUUCGGUACAUUGAUCUACCCCAGAGGAAGUCACGGCUAACUUCGUGCCAGCAGCCGCGGUAAGACGAAGGUGGCUAGCGUUGUUCGGUGUCACUGGGCUUAAAGCGUGUGUAGGCGGAAAUGUAAGCGUCUUGUGAAAUCCCUCGGCUUAACCGAGGAAUUGCUGGGCGAACUAUGUUUCUUGAGGCAAGUAGGGGUGCAUGGAACUCUUGGUGGAGCGGUGGAAUGCGUAGAUAUCAAGAGGAACGCCAAUGGAGAAAUCAGUGCACUGGGCUUGUCCUGACGCUGAGACACGAAAGCGUGGGGAGCGAACGGGAUUAGAUACCCCGGUAGUCCACGCUGUAAACGAUGUCUGCUAGGUUGUGGUCGUUCUGACACGGUCACGGCCGAAGCAAAAGUGUUAAGUAGACCGCCUGGGGAGUACGGUCGCAAGGCUAAAACUCAAAGGAAUUGACGG
rnacentral:rRNA from 1 species